CCUACGGGUGGCAGCAGUGAGGAAUAUUGGUCAAUGGGCGAGAGCCUGAACCAGCCAAGUCGCGUGAAGGAUGAAGGAUCUAUGGUUUGUAAACUUCUUUUAUAUGGGAAUAAAGUGAGGAACGUGUUCCUCUUGGUAUGUACCAUAUGAAUAAGCAUCGGCUAACUCCGUGCCAGCAGCCGCGGUAAUACGGAGGAUGCGAGCGUUAUCCGGAUUUAUUGGGUUUAAAGGGUGCGUAGGUGGUUAAUUAAGUCAGCGGUGAAAGUUUGUGGCUCAAACAUAAAAUUGCAGUUGAAACUGGUUGACUUGAGUAUAUGUGAGGUAGGCGGAAUGCGUGGUGUAGCAGUGAAAUGCAUAGAUAUCACGCAGAACUCCGAUUGCGAAGGCAGCUUACUAAACUAUAACUGACACUGAGGCACGAAAGCGUGGGGAUCAAAAGGGAUUAGAUACCCCUGUAGUC
rnacentral:rRNA from 1 species